rnacentral:rRNA from 1 species
GCUACCGCUAUUGGAGUUCGAUUAAGCCAUGCGAGUCUAGAGGCCUAGCCUCGGCGUACCGCUCAGUAACACGUGGGUAACCUACCCUAUGCUGGGGAAUAAGCUCGGGAAACUGAGAAUAAUACCCCAUAGUCCACUACGCCUGGAACGGUGAGUGGAUCAAAGCUCCGGCGGCAUAGGAUGGGCCUGCGGCGUAUCAGGUUGUAGGGGGUGUAAUGUACCCUCUAGCCAUCCACGCGUACGGGUGUUGGGAGACAUUGCCCGGAGAUGGAUUCUGAGACACGAAUCCAGACCCUACGGGGUGCAGCAGGCGCGAAAACUUGGCAAUGCGAGAAAUCGUGACCAGGGAACUCCAAGUGGCAGGGGUAAGACCCUGUCUUUUUCCGACUCUAAAUAGGUCGGCGAAUAAGGGGUGGGUAAGGACGGUGCCAGCCGCCGCGGUAAUACCGGCGCCUCAAGUGGUAGUCGCUUUUAUUGGGCCUAAAACGUCCGUAGCCGGUCUGGUACAUUCGUGGGUAAAUCAACUCGCUCAACGAGUUGAAUUCUGCGAGGACGGCCAGACUUGGGACCGGGAGAGGUGUGGGGUACUCUCAGGGUAGGGGUAAAAUCCUGUCAUCCUGAGAGGACCACCUGUUGCGAAGGCUCCACACUAGAACGGAUCCGACGGUCAGGGACGAAGCCUAGGGGCACGAACCGGAUUAGAUACCCGGGUAGUCCUAGGUGUAAACGCUGUGGACUUGAUGUUGGGGACGCUCCGAGCGUUCUCAGUGUCGAAGCGAAGGUGAUAAGUCCACUGCCUGGGGAGUACGGUCGCAAGGCUGAAACUUAAAGGAAUUGGCGGGGGAGCAC